rnacentral:miRNA from 1 species
AUACCCGAGCCAUGAUAGAUUG